rnacentral:rRNA from 1 species
CUGGCGGCUUGCCGUUAAACCCCUAUAUUUCUAGUGGUUGACCUCGGAUUAGGUAGGAAUACCCGCUGAACUUAAGCAUAUCAAUAAGCGGAGGAAAAGAAACCAACAGGGAUUGCCCUAGUAACGGCGAGUGAAGCGGCAACAGCUCAAAUUUGAAAUCUGGCCCUAGCGGUCCGAGUUGUAAUUUGUAGAGGAUGCUUUUGGUUAGGUGCCUUCUGAGUUCCCUGGAACGGGACGCCAGAGAGGGUGAGAGCCCCGUACGGUUGGACACCGAGCCUCUAUAUAGCUCCUUCGACGAGUCGAGUAGUUUGGGAAUGCUGCUCUAAAUGGGAGGUAAAUUUCUUCUAAAGCUAAAUACCGGCCAGAGACCGAUAGCGCACAAGUAGAGUGAUCGAAAGAUGAAAAGUACUUUGAAAAGAGGGUUAAAUAGCACGUGAAAUUGUUGAAAGGGAAGCGUUUGCGACCAGACUUUUUCCAGGCGGAUCAUCCGGUGUUCUCACCGGUGCACUUCGCCUGGUUUAGGCCAGCAUCGGUUCUCUUAGGGGGAUAAAGGCCUGGGGAACGUAGCUCCUUCGGGAGUGUUAUAGCCCCUAGCGUAAUACCCUUCGGGGGACCGAGGAACGCG